AUUGAACGCUGGCGGCAGGCCUAACACAUGCAAGUCGAACGAGUGGCGGACGGGUGAGUAAUGUCUGGGAAACUGCCUGAUGGAGGGGGAUAACUACUGGAAAAGGUAGAUAAUACCGAAUAACCUGAGAUGUGCCGAGAUGGGUUUAGCUUGGUGGUGGGGUAACGGAUCACCAAGGAGACGAUCCCUAGCUGGUCUGAGAGGAUGAACAGCAACACUGGAACUGAGACACGGUCCAGACGCCUACGGGAGGCAGCAGUGGGGAAUAUUGCACAAUGGGCGCAAGCCUGAUGCAGCCAUGCCGCGUGUAUGAAGAAGGCCUUCGGGUUGUAAAGUACUUUCAGCGGGGAGGCGUUACCCGCAGAAGAAGCACCGGCUAACUCCGUGCCAGCAGCCGCGGUAAUAC
rnacentral:rRNA from 1 species